rnacentral:lncRNA from 1 species
UCCAAAGAUAGCAGUUGUUCCCUGAACGAAUACCUCUCAGCACCACAUUGUUUCUUGCAUCAACGGCGCGACAUUCCUUGCUGUUAAAGAUAACCUCUAAUCCUUCAUCACAUAGUUGACUCACACUGAUCAGAUUCGCCUUGAGACCCUCAACAAAGUAAACGUUUGAGAGUUUAGGCACAUCAGGUCUGGAGGUUAUUCCAAUUGCACGAAUUUUGCCUUGUCCUCCAUCUCCAAAAGUAACUUUUCCAACUCUGAUGAGUUCGAGUUUCUCAAGAUAGUCUUCAUUUCCAGUCAUAUGCUUUGAGCACCCACUAUCAAAAUACCAGGGAAGUUGAGAUUGUGAUGCUUCUUCAGCAGAGG